UUUGCCCUACGGGGGGCAGCAGUAGGGAAUUUUCGUCAAUGGGCGCAAGCCUGAACGAGCGAUGCCGCGUGAGUGAAGAAGGCCUUCGGGUCGUAAAGCUCUGUUGCGGGGGAAAAAAGGCAGCAUCAGGAAAUGGGUGCUGACUGAUGGUGCCCCGCCAGAAAGUCACGGCUAACUACGUGCCAGCAGCCGCGGUAAUACGUAGGUGGCAAGCGUUGUCCGGAUUUAUUGGGCGUAAAGCGAGUGCAGGCGGCUCAAUAAGU
rnacentral:rRNA from 1 species